GAUUGAAGAACGUAGCGAAAUGCGAUAAAUAAUGUGAAUUGCAGAAUUCCGUGAAUCAUCGAGUUUUUGAACGCACAUUGCACUCCUUGGUAUUCCGAGGAGUACGCCUGUUCGAGCGUCAUUACACUCUCAAGCUCGGCUUGGAUUUGAAUCACUGUCGUGGCAGGAUUCCAAUAGUGUCGGCAAUUGACCAUCUGUGAUGACUCACUGGGAGUUAAUUCGCCGGAAACCCUUCUUUCCAGUUGACCUCGGAUCAGGCGGGGAUACCCGCUGAACUUAAGCAUAUCAAUAAGCGGAGGA
rnacentral:misc_RNA from 1 species